rnacentral:lncRNA from 1 species
AUGUCUUUCCGGAGUCCACUGAAAUCAAGGGAAUCCAUCCAAUAUCCCUCCAACCUUGGUCUUAUUUCAGUCAAGUCACCACAGUUUCCUCCUUCUUCUGUUCCACGUUCAUUGACUUUGAAAACAGAAGAAGUUCCACCUUUAUUGCUUCCAGUUUCUCCAACAGAAUCCAGGGAAUCUUCUGAUUUGCCUGACACAGGUCUACCAAAAGAAGACACACAAAGUCCUUCUAUCCUUGGACCUAUUUCAGUGAGCAAAUUCACACAAUUAUCUCACUCCUCUGAUAAAAGUGUACCAAGAGAAGCUUCACAAGUUCCCUCUACCCACCUGACUGUCACAGAGAGCGAACCAAUACAGCCUAUUUCCUUGUUUGAUAUAAGCUCAUCCACUGUAGGCAUAGAAGAAAUUAUGUCUUUCCGAAGUCCAUUGAAAUCAGGGGAAUCCAUCCAAUAUCCCUCCAACCUUGGUCUUAUUUUAGUCAACAAGUCCAUCCAAUUUCCUUCUUCCUCUGCUCCAAGUUCAUUGACCAUGAAAACAGAAGAAGUUCCAUAUUUCUUGCCUCCAUUUUGUCCAAAAGAAUCCAGGCAGUUUUCUGAUUUACUUGACACAAGUCUACCAAAAGAAGACACACAAAGUCCUUCUAUCCUUGGACCUGUGUCAGUGAGCAAAUGCACACAAGCGUCUCACUCCUCUGAUGAAAGUUUGCCAACAGAAACUUUACAAGUUCCCUCCACCCACAUGGCUGUCACAGAGAGCAAAUCAACACAACCGACUUCCUUGUCUGAUGCAAGUCCACCAGAUGUAGGCAUAGAAGAAGUUCAGUCUUUCCCAGGUCCACUGAAAUCAAGGGAAUCCAUCAAACAUCCCUCCAACCUUGGUCUUAUUUCAGUCAACAAGUCCACCCAAUUUCCUUCUUCCUCUGUCCUAAAUUUAUUGAAUGUGAACGCAGAAGAAUUUCCAUCUGUCUUGCUUCCAUUUUGUCCAACAGAAUCCAGGCAGUUUUCUGAUUUGCCUGACACAGGUCUACCAAAAGAAGACACACGAAGCCCUUCUAUCCUUGGACCUGUGCCGGUGAGCAAAUGCACACAAUCAUCUCACUCCUCUGACAAAAGUUUGCCAACAGAAACUUCACAAGUGCCCUCCACCCACAUGGCUGAGUCGAAUCAAUUUUCUCCUUCUUCUGACUAA